GAUAAUAUGUUAGCUCUUCAAUGUCAUUAGCAGACGAGUUUACAUGGAACUAAAUGCACACAGUCACUAUAAUAAAAACUAAAAGAAACGAUACACGUUGAAUUAGCUCUAUUUUGUAAUACACUUUAAGUAUAGUGUAGGAGGCACAGCGCAAUACGUAUUGUGGUAGGUCAUGUGCAAAUGCAACGUGCUAGCGUGUUCUGUGGUAUAGAUCACGCUACAUUGAAAAUACUAUCUCAAGAGACAUCAGGAAAACUCACAACUGAAAUUUUAUUCAAGCAAGCUAACGCAACAAUAAAGAAAUUCACUAUAUUGGUAAAGAUUAUAGAUUUUUACCAAUACAGUGAUGAAGACGAUUUUUGUAGAGAUGCUGGUAAUAGAGAUUACUUCAGAAAUACUGAGAAUUCUCAAAACUCCCUUGGUCGGGCGCCAAGUAGAGGCCCACUUCAAUUACCUUGAGAAAGCCAGUUGGUUUGGUCAAUAGCAAAUUCUAGAAUAGAGGGGGCUGCAGUAGUCUGGUGGCCCCCACAGUAAGGGUGGAAGGAGGGUUACGGUGCAUCGUACGAAAGGGCAACUGCAGAUAACGCAGGCAGGGCCCAGACAGUCAACGUCCCGAUGCAUUCCCGGGCCCGCGCCCCGCUCCGCCGCGCCGCGCGCUCCAACGGGAACCCGUAUCCGGCGCGCACCGCACCACGCUUUUUGCGACGCUCCCAGCGCCGGCCACCGCUCGCCGGUCUCUCUCAACUCUCCUCACUUCGUUGAGCUAAUGAAAACGAUUAAUCGGUUGCAUACUUGAGACAAUGAACACACUCACCCUAUAUAUUCAUAUUUGUGCCCAUUUGUACGAUUUAGUUCAUGCUCUGAAGACGAAUGCACUACAGUGAUUAUGCAUAGAGAUUAGAAAAAUAUGUGAUAGUCUAGCUAAGACUAUGUUGACACAAAUUGAUUGCCUGUCUAAAGCAAUAAAUUGACAUAUUUUUUAAUUUAUUAAAGCUUAACUGUUAUUUCUUGCAAUCCAAUUGAUGUUGAAAUAAAUGCCCUUAAAUGAU